rnacentral:rRNA from 1 species
GUUCCUUGGAAAAGGACAGCUGAGAGGGUGACACUCCCGUCCGCCUGGUAGAAUGAGUCUUUGUCAACGAGUCGAGUUGUUUGGGAUUGCAGCUCUAAUUUGGUGGUAAAUUCCAUCUAAAGCUAAAUAUUGGUGGGAGACCGAUAGCGUACAAGUACCGUGAGGGAAAGAUGCAAAGAACUUUGAAAAGAGAGUUAAAGAGUACCUGAAAUUGCUGAAACGGAAGCGAAGGAAACCAGUGUUUGUUGGUUCAUAUUUCCCUUGUCACUUGUGAUGUGGGCGCUGUGAGCUUGCGUGGGUUUGCUUUGGUUGAUCCCUUUGGAAGAGCGCAGUCAGAGUUGAUGUCU